CCUUGGCUAUUUGUGGGACAUGUCUAAGCAGCUUCUGCCAGUCCAGAUGAUCCAGGCUGUGGUCUUUUUCUCUGAACAUAUAUUGCUUAUUUCCUCCAGAAAGAACAAAGACAAACUCAUCAAUGGAUCAACAUAUGUCACCAAAGACACAAGAACAGGCAGGAAUUCAAGCAUUAGUGACAUUCAUACAAAGGAUGCAGAGGCCUUGCCUUGGUAAAGGUGUAACGAAGACUGCACGAGUCUGAACCUGAAAUAAAUGACACUAUGAACCUGGAGCUGUGCUUGUCACAUGAAAGGCACUAUCAAUAUUUGAGGACAAAUAAAAAGGAAGG
rnacentral:lncRNA from 1 species